rnacentral:rRNA from 1 species
UACGAAGGGAGCUAGCGUUGUUCGGAAUCACUGGGCGUAAAGCGCACGUAGGCGGACUCUUAAGUCGGUGGUGAAAUCCUGGAGCUCAACUCCAGAACUGCCUUCGAUACUGAGAGUCUUGAGUCCGGGAGAGGUGAGUGGAACUGCGAGUGUAGAGGUGAAAUUCGUAGAUAUUCGCAAGAACACCAGUGGCGAAGGCGGCUCACUGGCCCGGUACUGACGCUGAGGUGCGAAAGCGUGGGGAGCAAACAGG